UAGGGAAUCUUCGGCAAUGGACGGAAGUCUGACCGAGCAACGCCGCGUGAGUGAAGAAGGUUUUCGGAUCGUAAAGCUCUGUUGUAAGAGGAGAACGAGUGUGAGAGUGGAAAGUUCACACUGUGACGGUAUCUUACCAGAAAGGGACGGCUAACUACGUGCCAGCAGCCGCGGUAAUACGUAGGUCCCGAGCGUUGUCCGGAUUUAUUGGGCGUAAAGCGAGCGCAGGCGGUUAGAUAAGUCUGAAGUUAAAGGCUGUGGCUUAACCAUAGUAGGCUUUGGAAACUGUUUAACUUGAGUGCAAGAGGGGAGAGUGGAAUUCCAUGUGUAGCGGUGAAAUGCGUAGAUAUAUGGAGGAACACCGGUGGCGAAAGCGGCUCUCUGGCUUGUAACUGACGCUGAGGCUCGAAAGCGUGGGGAGCAAACAGGAUUAGAUACCCUGGUAGUCCACGCUGUAAACGAUGAGUGCUAGGUGUUAGACCCUUUCCGGGGUUUAGUGCCGUAGCUAACGCAUUAAGCACUCCGCCUGGGGAGUACGACCGCAAGGUU
rnacentral:rRNA from 1 species